UGCUCUGUAACGGUGACGUUACUGAGGGUGAGGCUGUGGGAACUGUUGCAGCUGUAACACAAGUACAGAAUAAAGUCACAUAUCAGAGUUCCUGAGGUUCAUGGAUGCUCCCCUUGAAGAGAAGUUUGGUUAGACCUGCACUCAAAUGAGCCAAUCGGAGUGAUCCAUGACAAAGGAAGAGCUACGUGUUAAAAGGAUGCUGCCAUCAUGCAAACUUUGGAACAGGGCUCAAGGUCCUGGAGCAGCACACCGAGGUCUACAGGAUCCGCAAAAAGACUGGUGUCGCCACAGAGGGAUUGGUUUGCAUUAGCUUAUUACUUUCAUAGUGUUGUGGCUCAAGCUGAACUGUGCAUAUAGUAAAUCAUAAUAAGGAAACUAAAUAUUUCUUUUGUUGACCUGUGAAAUCAAAUCUCGCGUGUGACCUUGCUUGUAUGUGCGGUGAAAUCUCUUCUCUCACUCGUCAUGUAACACGAUGUGUCGCGUGCACCGCUUUGUUUUGUGUGCGAGUCGUUCCAUUUACCUGAAGCGUUGAGAAGAAGAGCUGUGAAAAUGUCAGCGGGAACGGACAUUUGGGCCUUACGUCCGCCAAAACAGCGC